rnacentral:rRNA from 1 species
UUUUGGACAAUGGGCGAAAGCCUGAUCCAGCAAUGCCGCGUGCAGGAAGAAGGCCUUCGGGUUGUAAACUGCUUUUGUACGCAACGAAACGGUCUGCCCUAAUACGGCGGGCUAAUGACGGUACCGUAAGAAUAAGCACCGGCUAACUACGUGCCAGCAGCCGCGGUAAUACGUAGGGUGCGAGCGUUAAUCGGAAUUACUGGGCGUAAAGCGUGCGCAGGCGGUUAUGUAAGACAGUUGUGAAAUCCCCGGGCUCAACCUGGGAAUUGCAUCUGUGACUGCAUAGCUAGAGUACGGUAGAGGGGGAUGGAAUUCCGCGUGUAGCAGUGAAAUGCGUAGAUAUGCGGAGGAACACCGAUGGCGAAGGCAAUCCCCUGGACCUGUACUGACGCUCAUGCACGAAA